UACGUAGGGUGCGAGCGUUGUCCGGAAUUAUUGGGCGUAAAGGGCUCGUAGGCGGUCUGUCACGUCGGGAGUGAAAACACGGGGCUUAACCCCGUGCCUGCUUCCGAUACGGGCAGACUAGAGGUAUGCAGGGGAGAACGGAAUUCCUGGUGUAGCGGUGAAAUGCGCAGAUAUCAGGAGGAACACCGGUGGCGAAGGCGGUCUCUGGGCCUGUACUGACGCUGAGGAGCGAAAGCGUGGGGAGCGAACAGG
rnacentral:rRNA from 1 species